rfam:Fusarium fujikuroi IMI 58289 draft genome, chromosome FFTJ_chr10
GCCCGUAUGGCCUAAUGGCUAAGGCGUCUGACUGUGAGUAACAAAGUCUUUAAGUUCGAUUUCCAUACUAACUACCCAACCGUCUAAGUAAGAUCAUCAGAAGAUUGCGAGUUCGAUCCUCGCUAUGGGCU